UACGUAGGGUGCAAGCGUUAAUCGGAAUUACUGGGCGUAAAGCGUGCGCAGGCGGUUGUGCAAGACAGAUGUGAAAUCCCCCGGGCUUAACCUGGGAACUGCAUUGGUGACUGGCAGGCUUUUGAGUGUGGCAGAGGGGAGGUAGAAUUCCACGUGUAGCAGUGAAAAUCGUAGAGAUCCGGAAGAACACCGGUGGGCGAAGGCG
rnacentral:rRNA from 1 species